rnacentral:rRNA from 1 species
GACGAACGCUGGCGGCGUGCUUAACACAUGCAAGUCGAACGGAAAGCGCUCUUCGGAGUGACUCGAGUGGCGAACGGGUGAGUAACACGUGGGUGAUCUGCCCUGCACUUUGGGAUAAGC